CCGAGGCGGGCCACUGGAGGGACCGGCCGGAGAGGGGAGAACACUGGGGGAGAGAGGACAGACUGGCUGGGGAAGAGACGAGAGAGGACAGACUGGCUGGGGAAGAGACGUACAUGCAGAAGAGAGACGCAAGACUCUGGGGGUUAGAGACGCGGAAGGGUAGGUGUGGCGGGGCAAAGAUCUCCCUUUUCAGCUCCUGGAGGUCUCAAGCCGAGACACCGGUCCGCUACGGUCUUUCCGCAGGAAUGAAACCCUGUGAGAACCUGUCUAUUGUAAUAGAGACUUCUACAAAAGAAGACAAAGGUCACUGAGGUCCACCUUAGACCCCCAAGACUUGAAGGACAUGAUAGACUGUGGGAAAUGGGGAAGCUUUCUCAAUUGAUGUUGCUAAAGUGAAGUGUCUUUCUUCUGGCUCCCUGUCUCUGCUGAUCUCUGCUGAUCCAGAAUGCCCCCAGAAGCCAAUUCGCAAUACAUGAGCCUUAGUCUCCCUUCUACCAUUGGUAAUCAAGGUUCCACUCACAAGUCCUCUGGGAAACAUCACCCUCCUUCCUUGUGAUGGUCAUUUUUCCUUAUGAUAGUCCAUGGCAGAAUCACUAUGACCAGAAAACUGGAUCACCCUCCAUAGGAUUCGUAGGUUAGUCCUAGAUUGAACAAAUAACCUUCAAAUACCCAUUGAUCACCCCAGAUAGGAUUUGUAGAUAUAAUCAAAAUCCUAAGUCAUACCCUUGGUGUCUUCUUAAUUUCUCUCAUUGUGGCUAGAUCCUGCUCGAGGAGGAAUCUAGCCUAUGACUCGCAUCCUCUUACCCUAUCCUUCAUAUAGGAUAAUCAGUUGUUCUUCCUUUCCUAUUCUCAUCUAAAGACUCCAGAUUCUUUAGUUCCACAGAUAUUCCAUUCUUGGGGGUUUUCCUGGAGACAAUGUUCCCAGAGUUUGAGAGCUGGGUGGCUUUUUGUGGUGGUCAGCCAGAAGAGCAUUGCCUCCCUUGACCUGAUUAAAGACCUUGGGACAUGAAAAUCAAAGUCCACAACACAGCACGCAUGCACGCGCUCUAAUACUCAUUAAAAAUGGAACAUUAAAAAUGGAAAAA